rnacentral:rRNA from 1 species
AGAGUUUGAUUAUGGCUCAGGAUGAACGCUAGCGACAGGCUUAACACAUGCAAGUCGAGGGGCAUCACGGGAGUAGCAAUACAACUGGUGGCGACCGGCGCACGGGUGAGUAACGCGUAUGCAACCUACCUAUCAGAGGGGAAUAACCCGGCGAAAGUCGGACUGAUACCGCAUAAAACAGGGGCACCGCAUGGUGAUAUUUGUUAAAGAAAUUCGCUGAUAGAUGGGCAUGCGUUCCAUUAGGUAGUUGGUGAGGUAACGGCUCACCAAGCCGACGAUGGAUAGGGGAACUGAGAGGUUGGUCCCCCACACUGGUACUGAGACACGGACCAGACUCCUACGGGAGGCAGCAGUGAGGAAUAUUGGUCAAUGGGCGGGAGCCUGAACCAGCCAAGUCGCGUGAAAGGAAGAAGGAUCUAUGGUUCGUAAACUUCUUUUGCAGGGGAAUAAAGUGCAGGACGUGUCCUGUUUUGUAUGUACCCUGAGAAUAAGGAUCGGCUAACUCCGUGCCAGCAGCCGC